rnacentral:rRNA from 1 species
UAAUACGGGGGGGGCAAGCGUUGUUCGGAAUUACUGGGCGUAAAGGGCUCGUAGGCGGCCAACUAAGUCGGAUGUGAAAUCCCCAGGCUCAACUUGGGAACUGCAUCCGAUACUGGAUGGCUUGAAUCCGGGAGAGGGAUGCAGAAUUCCAGGUGUAGCGGUGAAAUGCGUAGAUAUCUGGAGGAAUACCGGUGGCGAAGGCGGCAUCCUGGACCGGCAUUGACGCUGAUGAGCGAAAGCUAGGGGAGCAAACGGGAUUAGAUACCCCGGUAGUCCUAGCCCUAAACGAUGAAUGCUUGGUGUGGCGGGUAUCGAUCCCUGCCGUGCCGAAGCUAACGCAUUAAGCAUUCCGCCUGGGGAGUACGGUCGCAAGGCU